GGAAGACAUGUCACGGAAGAUACGUCAUCUGGUUGCGCGUGGUCUUCUUCACUUUCGCUUGCUGCCGGGAGAGGAGUGGGUGUGCUUUCCAAGCCAGGUGCCUUCAUCAAGGAUUAUAAAAACCCAUUUGAACUGGGAUGGGACUCUAUUUAGCCUCAAGCACAUGAACCAUGAGCACUACAAAAGAAGAACAAAGAGUUGCUAUAGUGGCCGUGAUGCAACUAGAAUACAUCCAAGGGAUUAAACAUGGCUUCAAAGAUCUAGAAGACUUACUCCCAGCAGAUGAGGAAUUUAGAUACAGCCAUGGACAAUUACACUUUUCAUUUCUAUAAGGUUACUGUUUAGCCCAGCGUUUAAUAUGAAAAGAUGGUAACACUACUAAGAGUACAACAUUACUGUAUUUUUAUGUCAACUGCGGCUGUUUUCUUAGUCUUCAUAUUACAACCAGAGCCCACUGAUAUUGUUCAGAAUUCAUUUUCAUCGUCUUAUAUACAUUUGCUGUAGUAUCAACUGCUCAAGAGACUCAUCUGCCUGCCAGUAAUUCUGGGCAUACCUCUCAGGUGGGACACUAAUGAAAGUGAAAAUGAAAUAGUUCAGUGAUGAUAUAAAAGAGCAAGAUAGAGUCAACGGUGAAAACAGAGGCAGAAAGACAGGAGUGCUCAUCCUGAAUUCAAAAUGAAGUCAACCUUAAUUUUAGUUUCUAAAAGCUUAUGCUUCAUACUUGAAGUUUUACUUAACGUUAGCUUGAACAGUUCAAAUUUA
rnacentral:lncRNA from 1 species